CGUAGGCGGAUAGGUAAGUCAGGGGUGAAAUCUUCGAGCUUAACUCGGAAACUGCCUUUGAUACUAUCUAUCCUGAAUAUUGUGGAGGUAAGCGGAAUAUGUCAUGUAGCGGUGAAAUGCUUAGAUAUGACAUAGAACACCUAUUGCGAAGGCAGCUUACUACGCAUAUAUUGACGCUGAGGCACGAAAGCGUGGGGAUCAAACA
rnacentral:rRNA from 1 species